rnacentral:rRNA from 1 species
AUUGAACGCUGGCGGCAGGCCUAACACAUGCAAGUCGAACGAGUGGCGGAAGGGUGAGUAAUGUCUGGGAAAGGGAGUGAGGGAGGGGGAUAAGUACUGGAAACGGAAGCUAAUAACGCAUACCAUCAGAUGUGCCCAGAUGGGAUUAGGUUGUUGGUGGGGUAACGGCUCACCAAGGCGACGAUCCCUAGCUGGUCUGAGAGGAUGACCAGCCACACUGGAACUGAGACACGGUCCAGACUCCUACGGGAGGCAGCAGUGGGGAAUAUUGCACAAUGGGCGCAAGCCUGAUGCAGCCAUGCCGCGUGUAUGAAGAAGGCCUUCGGGUUGUAAAGUACUUUCAGCUGGGAGGCGUUACCCGCAGAAGAAGCACCGGCUAACUCCGUGCCAGCAGCCGCGGUAAUUC